rnacentral:misc_RNA from 1 species
GGAAGAACGCAGCGAAAUGCGAUACUUGGUGUGAAUUGCAGAAUCCCGUGAACCAUCGAGUCUUUGAACGCAAGUUGCGCCCGAAGCCACUAGGCCGAGGGCACGCCUGCCUGGGCGUCACACGCCGUUGCCCCCCCAUCUACUCCUUCGGGAUUGCGGGGGGGCGGAUGAUGGCCUCCUGUGCGCCUAGCCGCGCGGUUGGCAUAAAUACCAAGUCCUCGGCGACGCACGCCACGACAAUCGGUGGUUGCGAAACCUCGGUUGCCCGUCGUGUGCGUUCGUCGCGCAUCGAGGGCUCGAAAAAAUGCUCGGCUCCGGCUGGGCUUUCAACGCGACCCCAGGUCAGGCGGGGUUACCCGCUGAAUUUAAGCAUAUCAAUAAGCGGAGGA